rnacentral:rRNA from 1 species
AGCAUGUGGUUUAAUUCGACGAUACGCGAAGAACCUUACCUGGCCUUGACAUACUAAAAAGCUUUAAGAGAUUAGAGUGUGCUAGCUUGCUAGAAUUUAGAUACAGGUGCUGCACGGCUGUCGUCAGCUCGUGUCGUGAGAUGUUGGGUUAAGUCCCGCAACGAGCGCAACCUCGUGUUUAGUUGCUAACAGUUCGGCUGAGAACUCUAAACAGACUGCCUACGCAAGUAGGAGGAAGGUGAGGACGACGUCAAGUCAUCAUGGCCCUUACGGCCAGGGCUACACACGUGCUACAAUGGGGUAUACAAAGAGCAGCGAUACGGUGACGUGGAGCAAAUCUAGAAAAUGCCUCUCAGUUCGGAUUGUAGUCUGCAACUCGACUACAUGAAGUUGGAAUCGCUAGUAAUCGUAGAUCAGCAAUGCUACGGUGAAUACGUUCCCGGGUCUU